rnacentral:rRNA from 1 species
GAUGAACGCUGGCGGCGUGCCUAAUACAUGCAAGUCGAGCGAACAGACGAGGAGCUUUCUCCUCUGACGUUAGCGGCGGACGGGUGAGUAACACGUGGAUAACCUACCUAUAAGACUGGGAUAACUUCGGGAAACCGGAGCUACUACCGGAUAAUAUAUUGAACCGCAUGGUUCAAUAGUGAAAGACGGUUUUGCUGUCACUUAUAGAUGGAUCCGCGCCGCAUUAGCUAGUUGGUAAGGUAACGGCUUACCAAGGCAACGAUGCGUAGCCGACCUGAGAGGGUGAUCAGCCACACUGGAACUGAGACACGGUCCAGACUCCUACGGGAGGCAGCAGUAGGGAAUCUUCCGCAAUGGGCGAAAGCCUGACGGAGCAACGCCGCGUGAGUGAUGAAGGUCUUCGGAUCGUAAAGCUCUGUUAUUAUGGAAGAACAAAUGUAUAAGUAACUAUGCACGUCUUGACGGUACCUAAUCAGAAAGCCACGGCUAACUACGUG